CAAUAGCCGCGGGAAUACGUAGGGUGCAAGCGUUAAUCGGAAUUACUGGGCGUAAAGCGUGCGCAGGCGGUUUGUUAAGACAGAUGUGAAAUCCCCGGGCUCAACCUGGGAACUGCAUUUGUGACUGGCAAGCUAGAGUGUGGCAGAGGGGGGUGGAAUUCCGCGUGUAGCAGUGAAAUGCGUAGAUAUGCGGAGGAACACCGAUGGCGAAGGCAGCCCCCUGGGCCAACACUGACGCUCAUGCACGAAAGCGUGGGGAGCAAACAGGAUUAGAUACCCCUGUAGUCCCUGUCUCUUAUAC
rnacentral:rRNA from 1 species